rnacentral:rRNA from 1 species
AUUGAACGCUGGCGGCAUGCCUUACACAUGCAAGUCGAACGGUAACGGGCCUUCGGGUGCCGACGAGUGGCGAACGGGUGAGUAAUGUAUCGGAACGUACCUUUCAGUGGGGGAUAACGUAGCGAAAGUUACGCUAAUACCGCAUAUUCUGUGAGCAGGAAAGCAGGGGAUCGCAAGACCUUGCGCUGAUUGAGCGGCCGAUAUCAGAUUAGCUAGUUGGUGAGGUAAAGGCUCACCAAGGCGACGAUCUGUAGCGGGUCUGAGAGGAUGAUCCGCCACACUGGAACUGAGACACGGUCCAGACUCCUACGGGAGGCAGCAGUGGGGAAUUUUGGACAAUGGGGGCAACCCUGAUCCAGCCAUGCCGCGUGAGUGAAGAAGGCCUCGGUGUAAGCUCUUCGUCGGAGAAUACGUAUGGGCGUAAUA